rnacentral:rRNA from 1 species
UCCGAAGUUUCUCUCAGGAUAGCGGGCAGACUGACGUUGUUUUGUGCGGUAAAGCGAAUGAUUAGCGCAUUCGGGGACGUUUAGUCUUCGGGCGAUUCUCAAACUUUAAAUGCGCAAGGGUGCCGCUGCUUUAUUGAGCGGUACCGUUAAAAACGUCUGCCCUGUGGGCCACUUUUGGUAAGCAGAACUGGCGAUACGGGAUGAACCGUAAGCGUGGUUAAGGCGUCAAAUUGUCCGCUUAAAGAACCCAAAAAAGGUGUUGAUUCAUCGAGACAGCAGGACGGUGGCCAUGGAAGUCGGAAUCCGCUAAGGAGUGUGUAACAACUCACCUGCCGAAUGAAUUAGCCCUGAAAAUGGAUGACGCUGAAGCGGACAGCCGACACCACGCCGUCUGACCAAAGUGGUUUUUCAGAUGAGUAGGAGGGCGUGGCGGUUGUAUGGAAGCGUUCGUGCGAACGGGCGUGAAACGGCCGCUAGUGCAGAUCUUGGUGGUAGUAGCAAAUAUUCAAGUGAGAUCCUUGAAGGACGAAGCGGGGAAGGGUUCCACGCGAACAUUGAUUGGGCGUGGGUGAGUCGUUCCUAAGCCGAGUGGUUAUUGCUAAUUACCGGCGAAAGGGAAGCGGGUUGACAUUCCCGCACACGGAUGUGGAGGCGGCGACGCCGUAUUGGGGUGAUGACGUUGGCGGUGGCUCUGGGCAGAGUUGUCUUUUCUGUUUGACCGUCAGUGUGUGCUGUGUGGAAUCCGCUUGUCGGGAGAAACACGCGUGCACGGGCAUAGCGCCGGGGCUUUUCCGGCGUCCAGAUCGCCACCGACGACCCUUGAAAAAUCACUUGCUGAACACGAAAUUUAUUUUGUGAAAAUCCACGCCGUGGCGUACCGAUCACCGCAUCAGGUCCCCAAGGUGAACAGCCUCUGUCCAAUAUGAAAAAUGCAGGUAAGGGAAGUCGGCAAAUUAGACCCGUAACUUUGGGAAAAGGGUUGGCUCUAGUGCUGCGUGGGAGUGGUUGUUGUAUGUCGGCGACGUGCGAGCGGCAGUUUUGUUGCGGUGGGUCUCUUUCGGGAGAACUGCUGUGACUGGCCGCCCUCGGCGUUGCUGCGUGCGACGACGCCCACAGCAUGCAGCAAACUAGAACUGCAACGGGCAAAGGGAAUCCGACUGUUUAAUUAAAACAAAGCAUUGCGACGGCCGUGGCCGGUGUUGACGCAAUGUGAUUUCUGCCCCCCAGUGCUCUG